rnacentral:lncRNA from 1 species
CGGGGUUGUUUCGUCGCUCGUCGCUUGGCCGGCCCCUGGCGCUCACUCUCUAAUUCGCCCGCGCCCCUAAGUUUGCCGAGAGCUGGCUGCGGGCUGGGAGCAGGGUCCCGGCCGGGCGCCGCGGGCGGGGGCUGGGAAGCCGCGAACCGCAAUCCAGAAGCAUCUUGGGGCCAUGUAUAUUUCAUCAAACGGACUUUGGGUGCGUCGCGUCUCGCAGCCAUCAACGCUAUGUACAGUGACAUUUCUGACUUGAGUGGAGGAAUGCGCGAAGAAAACCGGGGCGAAAUUGCUUCAAGAGGAUCUUCUUGGCGCCAAGGCUAAUUGUCCUGAUUUAUGUCGCUUCUGACCAAAAA